AGGUAACUUGAUUACCCAAGUUCAGUUGAAGGGCGAGAAUUAUGAAGAAUGGGCGCGAGCUAUGUGAACUGCAUUGCAGGCUAAAAAGAAAUAUGAUUUUAUUGAUGGAUCUGUCAAACAACCAGCAGAUGACUCAUUGGAACUCGAAGAUUGGUGGAUGAUUAACUCUAUGCUGGCUUCUUGGGUGUUUAACACCAUUGA
rnacentral:misc_RNA from 1 species